AUACUGAUUUGGCAGCACUAGUACCAAAAUUGGAAUGAUACAAAGAUUGGCAUGACCCAUGUUCAAAGACAUGCAAAUUCAUCAAGCAUCUCAUAUUGUU
rnacentral:snRNA from 1 species